CCAAAGUAAUUUCCGACUUGCGAUCCCUCCAGGACUUUUCAACAAUGCGCCGCUUCUGGAAUACUUGAAUCUGGAGAACACGAAGAUGAGUACUUUACCCGUGAACUUAUUUGUGACUAACAGAAGGUUGCGUCGCCUGGAUCUGUCAGGCACGAAGCUGAGUACUUUACCCGUGAACUUAUUUGUGACUAGCAGAAGGUUGCAGCGCCUGUA